UCACUGGAGGACUUAGUGGUUAGGCCACAGCGCUCUCACCGCUGUGGCCCGGGUUCGAUUCCCAGCCAGGGAA